rnacentral:rRNA from 1 species
ACGGUAACAGAAAGCAGCUUGCUGCUUUGCUGACGAGUGGCGGACGGGUGAGUAAUGUCUGGGAAACUGCCUGAUGGAGGGGGAUAACUACUGGAAACGGUAGCUAAUACCGCAUAAUGUCGCAAGACCAAAGAGGGGGACCUUCGGGCCUCUUGCCAUCGGAUGUGCCCAGAUGGGAUUAGCUAGUAGGUGGGGUAACGGCUCACCUAGGCGACGAUCCCUAGCUGGUCUGAGAGGAUGACCAGCCACACUGGAACUGAGACACGGUCCAGACUCCUACGGGAGGCAGCAGUGGGGAAUAUUGCACAAUGGGCGCAAGCCUGAUGCAGCCAUGCCGCGUGUAUGAAGAAGGCCUUCGGGUUGUAAAGUACUUUCAGCGGGGAGGAAGGGAGUAAAGUUAAUACCUUUGCUCAUUGACGUUACCCGCAGAAGAAGCACCGGCUAACUCCGUGCCAGCAGCCGCGGUAAUACGGAGGGUGCAAGCGUUAAUCGGAAUUACUGGGCGUAAAGCGCACGCAGGCGGUUUGUUAAGUCAGAUGUGAAAUCCCCGGGCUCAACCUGGGGACUGCAUCUGAUACUGGCAAGCUUGAGUCUCGUAGAGGGGGGUAGAAUUCCAGGUGUAGCGGUGAAAUGCGUAGAGAUCUGGAGGAAUACCGGUGGCGAAGGCGGCCCCCUGGACGAAGACUGACGCUCAGGUGCGAAAGCGUGGGGAGCAAACAGG